GAGGGUGUACGUGUACAAGGCUUUGCAUCUCAUGAGACAGAAUUUGAGACUUUCUCCUCCAACCGAACAAACGCCUAUGUGUAUUUCUCUAUUUAUAAAUACAUGUAAGACCGUCCAAAACCGUUGUGCAAAGGGAAAGUGAAACUUGGGGCUGGGGUCGUAUGUAAAGAAACACUCGACGCAGGCUCCCAUUUUGUAAUCGAAGAGACAAAGGAAGAGGUUAGGUGAAGCUUGAAGAUUGCUAUACAAGCGAGCUGCUGUUGGCCCAGUGUUGUGGAGUACUACCGGAAGACCUGCCGGAAGGAAGACCAGAACGCUGUAAAAAAUGGCUGAGAAAAAGGCUGCGAACAUGGACUCGGACAGCUCUGACAGCGAGGGGGAGAGCAAGAGGAUGGAGGAGUAUCUGAAGCAGAGGAAGCUGAUGAAGAAGAAGAUGAAAGAACACGGAAUUGUGAAACAUGGAAAGUCGGGAAAAGGAGUGCGUGAAAUAGAGUGGGAAUGUGACUCGGAUGUGCAGGGCACAAAAUGGGGGGUUGACUUUGGCUGUGAUAAAGGGAUGUUUAAUGCAGUGGGAAUCCGUGGUGGGGUUUCAUACGAGACUUACUCUGAAAAAAAAUCAUUCAAGUACAAAGAGAAAUAUUCCUCUUAAUGUCAGGAGCAAACAAAACACACACACCAUCACACACACACACACACACACACCAUCACACACCUCAAACACAAACCAUAACACAUCUCAAACAAACACACACACCAUCACACCUCAAACACACACACACACACCGUCACACACCUCAAACACACAUACCGUCACACACCUCAAACACACACACCAUAACACAUCUCAAACACACACUACAACACAUCUCAAACACACACCAUCACACACCUCAAACACACACCGUCACACACCUCAAACACACACACCAUAACACAUCUCACACACACACACCAUAACAUAUCUCAAACACACACACCAUAACAUAUCUCAAACACACACGCACACACACACCCCACCACACACACAAACACACACACACCCCCACAUACAUAAACACACACACACCCCACCACACACACACACACACACACACACACUCACCCCACCAUCACCAUUGCACAAAUCAAACACACAACAUGUUUUUCCAUCAGCAGCCACAGUGAAAGUGUGUGAUGUCAUUAGGGCCCGCCUCCUCAGCUCUCAGUCGCCGUUGGCCGUUGCGGUUUGACAUUUUUUCAUGUUGUUAUUUUGGAAAGAGUGCGCCUACAUUCCAAAGUGAGUGUAUGAUGUUUAGUUUUUGUUCUUAUCUGCCAUGCCUUGCUUGUUAAUGUCAUUUAAACUUAAAUCUUGAUGGUGUAGAUUCUUUGCUGAUUACUGUUUGUUUCAGACAUAUCCAAAUUAUAGCAUUUAAAUUUGUGGUUAUUUUUAAUAAUAAUAAUAAUCUAGUUAAAUUGUCUGACAUUUGUGCAGUGUGCAAGUUUCACACUCAAAGCCCCCUAAGCACUCCCGCGAUGACAGAACGCAGCCAGCUCGUAUUACAGUGGGUUCACGUGCUUGUGCAUCAGUAAAUCCGUGUCGGUGUGUUUGUACAAACUCGCGCUGCUCCCAGCUACCUCUCCGUCGCAAUGCCGUGCACCCAAACGCUGAUCACAGUGCCACACCAGCAAACGCCCGGUGGCUGUAGCGGCCUAUGUUUACAGGCAAGGAUUGAAUGUGCAUUAUAAAAAUAUAUCAUGCUACGACGACAGUCGUCUGCAGUUGUGUACAUGAAGUACAUUAUAGGCUACCAACAGGCUCAACAUGUUCUCAGUGGUUGACUCUUUUCCUGUAGAAUACCCACAAUCAGAAGUCACAUGUUUAUUUGUUUGUUUGUUUUUUUGGGGGGCAUUCAGGUUUGAUCUUUGCCAAUUCCCCUUUCCCAUUGGUCUGUGUCGAAAGCCUAUUGUCUGUGUAAAAAUGCUAUAAAAAUCAGACUUGAGUUGAAGGCUUGUUUAUGGAGGUCUUGUGUUGGAUUAUCAUUUCUUGCUGGAAAUAACCUUGCUACAAUGCAUUUACUUGACCCCACACAACUAGGCCGAUAUUUCUAACUUCAGUGCCCACAGUACGUACAGUGCAGGUCAGUGGUAUUAGCCUACCUGUGGUUUUAAAGAAGACUUCAGUGGGUGUAACUACCCCUCCACCUCCCCCCCCCCACCCUUCUACCUCCAACUUAAAAAUAAUUAUAGGAUACUCCUCCAAUGGUCUUUUUGGUCUUUUUAAUUGUAAUUCAUGCAAUGGAUGCUACUUUGAGGAAAGUUUUGUCUAUGAUUCUUUUUGAAGUAAAACUAAUCUUUGUAUGUUAUUUGGUGCGACACUGAAUAAUGUUUAUAUGCUGGUCUGCUGUUCAAUAAAGGCACUUAAAUUAA